rnacentral:lncRNA from 7 species
UCCGGGCGAGGUAGCGAUGGAGAAAAGCUUGGACAGGGGAGGGAGAAGACAGAGGAGCUCGGCGGAUUUUAUAGAGAGAGGGAGAGAGAUGUAGGGUCGGCCGGGGUGCUUCAUGGCCAAUAAUGGCGUCGACAUCAAUGGAGAGAGGAGUAAUGGCGCCAAUAACUCGGAGAAACGCUCGGUUGACGCUCCAUUACACAGGUGAGGAACGGACGCGCGGCACUUGGGGUCGCUUGGUCUUCUGUUGUUGCUCGAUGGCUCGGCUUCAUGGCAGCGAGGCACAUGGGCGCGGGGUCGGGUGCACGGCGUCGCACUGGUUCCUUGCGGCGCGGUCAGCGCGGUCGAGGUUGGCCGGCUGGCGCGUCGGGGGAAGC